GGUUUUUUUCUCUCGGUGAGCAACAGGACAACGAGAGUCAUCCUCUCUCUCACGAUGACUACAACAAAAAUCGACAUCUCUUCCUUGCUGUGAACAACAAACAAUCUCUCUCGGUUGCUCGCGUAAUAACAACGCUCAGUUAGGCUCUCUUCCUGUUUCGAUUUUGCCCGCGGUGAACAAAAGCUUCUGGCCUCUUUGAUUGAAGACAAACUCAAGAUAUAACAAUAAUUAGCAGAGGUUAAGAAUGAAGGCAGGAUCGACUUACCUAUGGCGAGGAGG